GAAAAGAAAAGGAGAUAGAAGCAGGCGCAGUCCCUGGAGCUGCUGUCCUUGCUUUCUACCACCUUCUCUGUGUCAGACUUGACAAAAUGUCUCUCUUCUGACCAUGGAUCAAAGCUAUUUUCAUCAUUGCCUUGGUAUUUCCUCUUUAUUCCGAAAUUUAUUGUGAACGUGAUUUCAGAUAUCCGCCAGACUGUCAACUGUAUACAGAAGUUUGCACCAGAGAAUAUGAUCCAAUCUGUGCAAGUGAUGGAAAAACCUACAGCAAUGAAUGUACUUUCUGCAUUGAAAAGAUGUACGUACACAAUAGUAAAUGUUUGGUCUUCCAAGGUAUGAAGAAAUCAUCACAAGAUGAUGGUAAAUCUGUGUUGCUGAUUGUACCAAGGCACAAUAUAUGUAUAUAGAAAAUAACUGUAAGUUCAUUGUAAAAUAUUAGGGGCCACUGUUGUUUCUUUCCCUGAAGUUCUUGUUUCUGAAAGUAAUUUUGUGUUUGAGCUAUCAAUAACUUUGAUUGAUACUGUGCAAAUGUGUAAACAAUUAAUUUAACUUAAUUAUGAGUUACUAAUGGCAGACUAACAACCAAUAUAAUGUAAUUCCAGAGCCCAGAUGCAGAAUGAUAGCUCUCUGUGGUGGCCAUGUGAUUGACCCUUGCAGAUUUAGCUGAAGGGAGCAUAAUUGUUCAAGAACCAAACAGACCACUGAAUUCAGAAAUUUAUCAUAAUCAGCCCAUUCAUGUUAGAAAAGGACUCCUGUCAAGGUUGACUAUGUCUCAAAAACUGUGUGUGUGUGUUAGUCACUCAGUCGUGUCCAACCCUUUGAGAUCCCAUGAACUGUAGCCUGCCAGGUUCCUCUAUCCAUGCAAUUUUCCAGACAAUACUGGAGUGGUUGCCAUUCCCUUCUCCAGGGGACCUUUCCGACCAAGGAAUCAAACUCGGGUCUCCUACAGUGCAGGCAGAUGCUUUACCUUCUGAGCCACGAUGACAGCCUCCAAAGCUUCCCUGGAGAGCAGGGCAUUCUAGAGCACCUCUAUCUAAUCUCCCUUUCUGCCUCCUUCCUUUGAGGGAGUCUGCAGUCUAAAGGUUCAGCCAGCCUUUCUACCUCCUGCCUCAUUUCCUCUCAUGGGGUAUUUCCUCUCACAAAAUCUUUGCACAUUUAAUCCCCAAAGAGGCAUGUGUUUCUGGAAGACUGCUGAGAUAGUCUCCAAUCUCUCCUCUCUCAGAUCUGGGUGGGUCCCAAACCUGGAUCAGGACUGAGAACACAGGAAGAGUCAGGUGGGCCCAGAUGGGGACAGGACAUGUGCCAGGCCCUAGGAGCAAGCAGAGUCCAGUUGCUUCUGCAAGUGGAACACUGCCACUCUAUCUUGUUCCACUUUCAAAUCCUCCUUAUUGAAAAGAUUUUUGGAGUUUUUGUGUUUAACAUCCAAACUCUAUUCUGCAUGCAUAUUAUCUACAUUUCUGUACCACAGAAAUGACUCCAAUCUGUACAAGCUACGGUAGAACUCACAGCAUUGAGUGUAAUUUUCUCAGUGAUACUAUACUGGCAGUUUAAAAUAUUCCUUUUUAAAUAAAAAUUUAUGGUGGGGUAAUUUUAGAUUUACAGAGAAAUUUCAAAGAUAGUACCAAGUUUUUGUAUCCUUUAUCCAGUUUCUCCUAAGAUUAACUCCUUAUGGAAAUCUGGCUCAUGUGUCAAAAGUAACAAAUUAACUUUGGUUUAUCACUAUUAACUAAUCUACAGAAUUUGUUUGGAUUUCACCAGUUUUUCCAUUAAUAUCCUUUUUAAUUUUUUUAAGUGUAAUGUACUUUAUUUCUUCCUUAAAACUCUAAUUGUUUCCUCUCUUUCUUUAUAGGAAUAAUGAUACCGAUAUUUAUUUUCAAUAUUUUGGUGAAUGUGAAUAUUGAUGAAGCAACUCAUAAUUUGGUUUUUAUUGUAAUUACAUUUUGUGGUGCAUUCUACAGGCAAUUAGAGUCUUCUCAAUCAGAAGCUGACCAGGUCAAUUCUAUGAAACAAGAGCUAUUGAUAGAAUAUAGAGCAUUCAGAUUCUUUCCAAAAUUAAUUUUUUAUGAUUUCAGGAUUUUCAUUCUUUGUGUUCAAUUUAUUCAGUGGUAGUUUGAAAAACUAAUGUCAUUUGCAUGCUUGAUAACAUAAA